AUUCAUAAUGGGAGAUUCAUGAAUACUUGCAAAUGACUUGCUUCAUACUGAGGCUGUGCCAUUUGCCUGAGAAUUGGACUUAGCCUCUUCAUUACUGGCUCCAUGACCAUCUCCCCUCUCCCCUCCUCACACACAUCCUUCAUCCAUAGCUGGUACUACUCCUGUCUUCACUCCUCCUACUCUUACCCUCAAGCCUUGCCAAUCGCUGCCCUCUUCCUCUUCCUUCUCCUUGCUCUCCUUUAGUGGUACUUUCUCCUAUGCUCCUGUAGGAAACUGGCUGAGUCCUGGGGUACAUGCAGCUCUGCUGUAUCCUAGUGUGGCUGAAUGCACACACUUAGUGCUCAUACUUAGUGCUGGGAGAUGUUAGGGGCCUGAAGGGGGCUUUCCAGUCAUUUGCCUGAAGAUUGUAUUCCCAGCUCUGAGACAGAAGGAGCCCAGCUGCAGAGAAUCUAGGCCACUGUGACUUGGUCUUCCUCUCUCUGGGAUAUCACAAAGUCCAUAUGAGGAAAGUGCCUGCCGUAUGGCAAGUUCUCUAGUGAUAUUAAGCCAUUUAACCCAAGCCAGCAAUGGAGUUGGAGAAGAAGGGGUGACUCCUACAGAGCAUCUGACAAUCAGAGAAGAGUUAGAAUACAUUAAGCUCAGCAUCACAUAUGUAGUUUAAAUACAACUCCACCUCCUUCUCUUUCUUUCUCUUCUUUUCUGCCUUUGUUGCCCUACCUAGGAUUAAAAUCUUAGGUCUUAUGUUAAAAGAAUGGCAAGAGAACUGUAGCAUUCUCUGCCUCUUGGGCAUCUGCUAGAGGUGGGAUAUUAGAGGGACACUGGGGGAUGCCUGGAUGAUCACCUCCACCCCUCCACCUACUAUGACCUCAACAUGAAGUUGGCCUUCUUGAAGUAGGUGAAUCACUACAGCCCUUGUUCAGGAAGUGUGUUUGAAACCAGGCUUUUAAGGAAGAGAGGAGACAACAUUUCUUGGGACCUUCCUGCCAACCUGACCCUUCUGGUUGGCACCACCCAGAGCUUCAUUACUUAGGCUUGAAGCCCAGAAGAUGGCUUCUCUGGCCAGAUAUCAAGCUUCUUGAAGUUGAAGCUAUAUUUCUGUGGGGCUCUAGGGGAUAAGGCAGGGCCAUUGUGACAAGGCACCAUCAAUCACCAUGUCCCUUUACCAGGAGGGCCCAUGUCAUAAGCCACUAUCUAAAGGGAAUGAUGGGUGGACUGCUUUGGACAAAUGGACUUGGGGUAGGAGAGAGGGACAACAGUGGGAGCAGGCAGAUCUUGCUGUUUCAACCAAAACCUCGUGCUGACCAGAGUUGAGGAACAGAAGAAGAUGGUGAAGUCCUGCAGUUACAGGUGUUCAGCAUGUCAUCUGAAAUAUUCCCCACAGAGGCAAAAAGAAAGGAAAUUAUCUCUGAAAAGUAACAGGAAGACAAGAACCUCCUUCUAAUCUUGUCCAUGCAGUAAAGGGAGAUCACACAAGCCCUGGACCUACCUCUUUGAGGUGGGACUCUCAAACUCUUUGAAGUCAGCAGAAUAUGUCAAUGUUUUGGUUGAAGAAGCUGCUUGAUUCUGGGCUUUUCUGUGCCAUGUGUUCUCCCACGGCCAGCACAAAGAAGGGCUUUUGGUGCAGGCCCAAGACCACCAUAAUCAUCAUUGAUUAUUCCUCUCCAUGCCGGUGUCUCUAAAUAAACUUUCUCUUCUUUCUCUGACAAA